GGUAAUCAGGAUGGCAGUGAGGCAGGCACUUGCUUGCAGAAGAACAGGCCUAGUUUUUUAAGAAGCCACAAAAGUGUCUUUGGAUGAUUAGGAUCUAAGGGGCCAACAGCUUUGCAAUAACAGCAUAAAUAUUGUGGGCUGGAUGGACAGGCACCAAAUGGGGACAUUCCAUCCUGCUGUGUGAUGAGAAAGCUGCCACUUUUGAGGCCUUCCAAAACAAAUCAACACUCCAUAUGCCAGAAGGAAAAGCCCAGGAAAGACCUAUUCCAACUGGAGAUGGUGAAUGUCAUUUCUUCAAGAAGCUGAGAUCCAGCUGGUACUGCCAGGUGGAGAAUUGCUGUGUUCUUGUUUCUAGGAAUACGAAGGGAGAAUGAAACAAAACUGCUCCGCUUAGGGAACUUGGAAAGGAAAUUGAAAAGGCAAGGCACAGGCUGGAAGAAAAUAUUUGAAAAAGAUUUAUGUGAACUUCUUUCUGGAUUAUACAAAAUAUUUUUAGAUAUUCUUACAACUCUAAAAUAAGAUAACUCCUUAAAAAUCUAAAUUCUACCAAAGGAGAGAUAAAGAUGACGAAUACAUUCAAAGAUGCUGAAAAUCACUUAUUUAUUAUUAGGAAGUUACAAGCUAAAGCAUAAUGAGAUACCACUACAACCUACUAAACUGACUAAAAUUAAUCAGACUAACCAGGUGUUGGCAAGAAACAGGG
rnacentral:lncRNA from 1 species